rnacentral:miRNA from 1 species
AGGAUUAUGAUAUUGUGGUG